UACAGGGGGUGCAAACGUUGCUCGGAAUCAUUGGGCGUAAAGCGCACGUAGGCGGUUCGUUAUGUCGGAUGUGAAAGCCCUUGGCUUAACCGAGGAAGUGCAUCCGAAACUGGCGAGCUAGAGUACGAAAGAGGAUCGCGGAAUUCCCGGUGUAGAGGUGAAAUUCGUAGAUAUCGGGAGGAACACCGGUGGCGAAGGCGGCGAUCUGGGGUCGAUACUGACGCUGAGGUGCGAAAGCGUGGGGAGCAAACAGGG
rnacentral:rRNA from 1 species